CUGGAGCCUCCUUCAGUUUAUGUCAGGGGCCUGUCUGGCCUUGGUCCUAUCACUCCAAACCGGAGGCUUUCUCUUCCCACGGCCUGGGGGUAUUUCCCUUAGGCCAUGGCUUAGUCUGGGUCUCCGAGUCCUUGAUUUUUGAGUGCCUAGACCCUGUCCCACCUAUUUUGUUUUUCUUUGGACACACACUAAAAGGCCAAGUUUGCAAAACAGCUUCUGGGCAGAUCCUUAGACAGGUAGAUCUCACUGGGGUCGCUCUGCUGGAUUUCUGAAGAAUCAGAAGUUGUCCGUGGUCCUGCUGGGUGGCCUCAAAGACUGAGGUCAGAAAGAAGGGCAUCCCAGAGUCCUAGGUUUGGGGGGCACACUUUCUGGCUUAUAAUGCAUCUUAUCUUCUUUCAUAUGUUCAGAAUCUUGCUUGGAA
rnacentral:lncRNA from 1 species